rnacentral:rRNA from 1 species
AACGAACGCUGGCGGCGUGCCUAACACAUGCAAGUCGAACGAAGCCUUCGGGCUUAGUGGCGCACGGGUGCGUAACGCGUGGGAAUCUGCCCUUGGGUUCGGAAUAACAGUUAGAAAUGACUGCUAAUACCGGAUGAUGUCUUCGGACCAAAGAUUUAUCGCCCAAGGAUGAGCCCGCGUAGGAUUAGGUAGUUGGUGGGGUAAUGGCCCACCAAGCCGAUGAUCCUUAGCUGGUCCGAGAGGAUGAUCAGCCACACUGGGACUGAGACACGGCCCAGACUCCUACGGGAGGCAGCAGUGGGGAAUAUUGGACAAUGGGCGAAAGCCUGAUCCAGCAAUGCCGCGUGAGUGAUGAAGGCCUUAGGGUUGUAAAGCUCUUUUACCAGGGAUGAUAAUGACAGUACCUGGAGAAUAAGCUCCGGCUAACUCCGUGCCAGCAGCCGCCGUAACAC